rfam:Aedes albopictus isolate Foshan contig64552, whole genome shotgun sequence.
AAAACGGCCCUUCUCAGGGCCAAAAACAUAUUCUAAAAGAGUUAU